GCGGAUGUGGCGGAACUGGCAGACGCACUAGACUUAGGAUCUAGCGCCUCCGGGCAUGCAGGUUCGAUUCCUGUCAUCCGCACCA
rnacentral:tRNA from 1 species